rnacentral:rRNA from 1 species
UACAGAGGUCCCGAGCGUUGUUCGGAUUCAUUGGGCGGAAAGGGUGCGUAGGUGGCAAAGGAAGUUGGAUGUGAAAUCCUGGGGCUUAACCUCAGAAUUGCAUUCAAUACUGCUUAGCUAGAGAGCUGUAGAGGAGACUGGAAUUUACGGUGUAGCAGUGAAAUGCGUAGAUAUCGUAAGGAACGCCAGUGGCGAAAGCGAGUCUCUGGGCAGCAUCUGACACUGAGGCACGAAGGCCAGGGGAGCAAACGGG